GAUGAAGAACGUAGCAAAAUGCGAUAAGUAAUGUGAAUUGCAGAAUUCAGUGAAUCAUCGAAUCUUUGAACGCACAUUGCGCCCGCUGGUAUUCCGGCGGGCAUGCCUGUUCGAGCGUCAUUUCAACCCUCAAGCCCCCGGGUUUGGUGUUGGGGAUCGGCUCUGCCCUUCUGGGCGGUGCCGCCCCUGAAAUACAUUGGCGGUCUCGCUGCAGCCUCCAUUGCGUAGUAGCUAACACCUCGCAACUGGAACGCGGCGCGGCCAUGCCGUAAAACCCCAACUUCUGAAUGUUGACCUCGGAUCAGGUAGGAAUACCCGCUGAACUUAAGCAUAUCAAUAAGCGGAGGA
rnacentral:misc_RNA from 1 species